rnacentral:ncRNA from 2 species
CGAGCCGGAACGGGAGAGCCUCCACCGAGUUCGGGUGGGGCACCGAAGGAGCAAACUCCCCGGAAACUCUCAGGUAAACCUACCGUUCCAGGCCA